UAAUAUCAUCAAAAGAAGAAGUCGACGUGCGUGGCAUCCACUCGCGGACGACUUUUCCUUCAACCCUUUACCUUUCGCAAAACCUAGAUCUACGCCGCCUUUGUUUCUCCGGUCAUCGGUGCUCUUCGCCGUGACCGGGAGAGGCCCCCCAGUGGCUCCACUCAGUGGUUUGGCUUCCUUCUCGUCGGCGAUUUGACGAGUUAGCGUUUCGGAUCUAGAGAUUCUGCGAUCUGUGCGCUUUACUCCCGCUUAGUUUUGGAAGUCGUUUGUGUCCCUGUCUCCUCGCAUUACUCCGGUUUGUUUGGAGGCUCUGUUUGUGUGUUGCUGUUUUAGGUGUAGCUUGUAGUGCUGAGGUCUCAGCUCCGGCGAUUCUGAUCCUCUCUUUUAGUUUGCACCGGGGAAGUUGGUCUCUUUUUGGUGCUUUGUGUUGUGGCUGGUUGUUAGAGCUGGCUUCUCUAGCUGCUUGCAAGCUUCCUCUUUCCAUUUCCCAAGCCAAAGGUGGUUACUUUGUUUGUGGACUGGUUUUAGUCCGAGACUAGUUUUGCCUCUGUAGGUUCUGGUGAGUUUCGUCUAGGAUGGAUUUGAGGGCUACGCUUGACCAUGGGUUUGUGGACGGCCCGUCGCUGCCUAUACCAUCUCCGUGCAUUUCCAUGGCAUGUCUCUCUUGAGUCCUCUUUGUUGCGUUCAAGUUUAUCUGUCUCCUCUUGUCACUUAUGUUAUUACCUAAGCUCAACCACAUCAGAUUUGUGUCUAUGUGUAAUCUUGCGAAGAUUUUGUUGAAGUCUCUGUUUUGCUCUUUGCGAUUGGUGGUGUUAGUAUGGCUCUUUGUGGUUAAGAUGUUGCAAGAUUCUAAGCUUCCGUUUCCAAGUGGGACUCGUUAGAGUGAGUAAGCAUUGCCUAACACUUUUGGCUCGGCAAUUCCGGAGCUCCCUGAUGUGCUCGGAUUCCCGUUGAAAGGGCUGCCAUCUUGUUUUGGGGGUUUCGUGAGCUUCACUUAUUUGUCUUCGUUGGGUUUCCUCUCCUAGCUCACUUUAGGGAUUCAUCUUAUCUUGUUCCCAAUCAACUUCUUUAACAAGAAUCGAGGAUUAGGUUCAAGAAUGUUGUAUGCUUCCAUGCUUUUUAUCCUUUUUUUGCCAUGGAACCAUGAUUUGGUUACCCUUUAUUGUGUAACCGAAAUUUUCAUUGUGAUAAUGAAUAUUUACAUUCUUAGC